rnacentral:lncRNA from 1 species
CUCCAACUCUCUCUCUCUCACACACACACACAGACGCACAAUUUGACCAAGUUGAUGAAAUAAAUCAGAUAAAGAAAUGCACAGCAGAAGUUAAAAAGUUAUGGCAACUGUGAAGGUCAACCAAAACUUGCCCAUGAGCUAAAUAUGGCCUCUGAGCUAGCAAUCUGCAAGCUCUGCCUUAGAGUAACAGAAAAGAAAGGAGAACCCAACAGAGAGAAGCACCAGAGCAGAAGGCAGAGGAUGAGGCUCAUUCCUGCCUCUGCCUUACAGUGGACUUUGGGUAAAUCAUGUUACUUCUCUGAGCUUCAAAACCCCUACCCCCAAAUUACAGUCUUGAGGCAGAUGAUCUCUAAAACAUGCCACCUCCAACAUUCUAUGAUGUUGCAGGAAGUCAGGGACCCCAAACAGAGGGACCAGCUGAAGCCAUGGCAGAAGAAUGUGGAUUGUGAAGAUUUCAUGGACAUUUAUUAGUUCCCCAAAUUAAUACUUUAAUAAUUUCUUAUGCCUGUCUUUACUGCAAUCUCUAAACACAAAUUAUAAAGAUUUCAUGGACACUUAUCACUUCCCCAAUCAAUACCCUUGUGAUUUCCUGUGCCUGUCUUUACUUUAAUCUCUUAAUCCUGUCAGCUGAGUAAGAUGUAUGUCGCCUCAGGACCCUGUAAUAAUUGCAUUAACUGCACAAAUUGUACAGCAUGUGUGUUUGAGCAAUAUGAAAUCUGGGCACCUUUAAAAAGGAACAGGAUAACAGCAAUUGUUCAGGGAAUAAGAGAGAUAACCCUAAACUCUGACCGCCAGUAAGCCGGGCGGAACAGAGCCAUAUUUCUCUUCUUUCAAAAGCAAAUGGGAGAAAUAUCGCUGAAUUCUUUUUCUCAGCAAGUAACAUCCCUGGGAAAGAGAAUACGUGCCUGGGGGUGGGUCUCUAAACAGCCCCCCCUGGGCGUGGCCGUCUUUUAUGGUUGAGGCUGUAGGGGUGAAAUAGACCCCAGUCUCCCAUAGUGCUCCCAGGCUUACUAGGAAGAGGAAAUUCCCACCUAAUAAUUUUGGUCAGACCGGUUGCUCUCAAAACUCUGUCUCCUGAUAAGAUGUUAUCAAUGACAAUGGUGCCCGAAACUUCAUUAGCAAUUUUAAUUUCACCCCAGUCCUGUGUUCCUGUGAUCUUGCCCUGCCUCCACUUGCCUUGUGAUAUUCUAUUACCUUGUAAAGUACUUGAUGUCUGUGACCACACCUAUUCACCCACUCCCUCUCCUUUUGAAAAUCCCUAAUAAAAACUUGCUGGUUUUUGCAGCUUGUGGGGCAUCGUGGAACCUACCGACAUGUGAUGUCUCCCCCUGAUGCCCAGCUUUAAAAUAAAUCUCUUUUGUACUCUGUCCCUUUAUUUCUCAAGCCGGCCAACACUUAGGGAAAAUAGGAAAGAACCUACCUGAAUAUCGGGGCAGGUUCCCCGACACUAUGAGCCUAACAAGCUCAGGAGACAUAGCAGAUUAAAUCAAGAGAGAAUAUUAAAAAUAGAGAAAGGAUGUCUAAACAAGAAAGAGCCAAGGAGGUAGGACAGGUGAGAAGAGAAAGAGUGGGGGAAACAGAGUGAAGAAUGAGGAGAUCCACAAUGAAGAAAGCUCAUGGAUGAUAAGACCAGAUCAGUCUGUUCUUCUGGGAUGCUAUUAAAUAAAGUAAAAUAUAAAUAAGAUUAUAGUUAAAAAUUAUUUGCAUAUUUUUCUUCUUCAACUUAAAGUUAAGGACAGGACACAGUGGUUCAUGUCUGCAAUCCCAGCACUUUGGGAGGUUGAGGCAGGAGAAUUGCUUGAGGCCAGGAGUUUGAGACAAGCCUGGGAAAUACAGUGAGAUCCCAUCUCUACAAAAAAAUUCAAACAUUAGCUAGGUGUGGUGAUGCACGCCUUUAGUUAUAGUUACUCAGUAGGCUGAGACAGGAGGAUUGCAUGAG